UACGUAGGGGGCAAGCGUUGUCCGGAAUCAUUGGGCGUAAAGAGCGUGUAGGCGGUUCGGUAAGUCGGCUGUGAAAGUCAAAGGCUCAACCUUUGAAAGCCGGUGGAUACUGCAUGGCUAGAGUACGGAAGAGGCGAGUGGAAUUCCUGGUGUAGCGGUGGAAUGCGCAGAUAUCAGGAGGAACACCAAUAGCGAAGGCAGCUCGCUGGGACGUUACUGACACUGAGGCGCGAAAGCGUGGGGAGCGAACAGG
rnacentral:rRNA from 1 species